CCUAGUAAGCACAAGUCAUCAGCUUGUGCUGAUUACGUCCCUGCCCUUUGUACACACCGCCCGUCGCUACUACCGAUUGAAUGGCUUAGUGAGGCCCUCGAAUCGGGUAUGGGGACUGGAAACAGAUCCCGUGUCUGAGAAGUUGGUCAAACUUGGUCAUUUAGAGGAAGUAAAAGUCGUAACAAGGUUUCCGUAGGUGAACCUGCGGAAGGAUCAUUACCAAUCUCUAGCGUGACCCUCACGUGGGGUCUCGCGAAACUCUGUAUUUAAAACCCAACUCGUUGAAAUUAUAAAAAAAAAUACAUAUGUAUAAGUAAAAAAAAAGAUCACUUUCAACAACGGAUCUCUUGGCUCUCGCAUCGAUGAAGAACGUAGCGAAGUGCGAUAAGUAGUGUGAAUUGCAGAAUUCCGUGAAUCAUCGAAUCUUUGAACGCAAAUUGCACUCCCUGGUAUUCCGGGGAGUAUGCCUGUUUGAGGGUCGGUUUACAUAAGAUCGAUGCGUUGCUUUUUCGCGAUGCGUCGGAAUUGGGUCAUCUUGAUCUCUCUCUGGGUUCAAGAGGCCUGAAAUUGACAUGCUUGCGCAUCUCUCAGACGUGUAAGACCUUACCUCGUCUCUUCUGGAUGCCAUGCCGUCAUUUACUGGGGUGGUCACGUUGCUGAGCUUACGCCCAUAAGAUAUUUCGAGUUUCGACCUCAAAUCAGGUAGGGAUACCCGCUGAACUUAAGCAUAUCAAUAAGCGGAGGAAAAGAAAAUAACCAUGAUUCCCCUAGUAACUGCGAGUGAAGAGGGAGAAGCUCAAAUUUUAAAUCUGUUAGGGUUCACCUGACCGAGUUGUAAUUUGAAGAAGCGUUUUCCGCGUGAUCGAUCAGUCCAAGUCCCUUGGAAUGGGGCAUCAUGGAGGGUGAGAAUCCCGUCCGGUUGAUCGUGAGCGCACUACGAUACGCUCUCAAAGAGUCAAGUUGUUUGGGAUUGCAGCUUAAAAUGGGAGGUAAAUUUCUCCUAAGGCUAAAUAUUGGUGAGAGACCGAUAGCGAACAAGUACCGUGAGGGAAAGAUGAAAAGCAUUUUGAAAAGAAAGUCAAAUAGCACGUGAAAUUGUUGAAAGGGAAACGAUUGAAGUCAGUCGUACCGAUGGGCACUCAGCCUCUCGGGCGGUGAUCGUGUCGGGUGUGGGAAGAUCUCACUCUGUUAUUGUUCCCGCCUCUGCAGUGUAAUUGUCCGUAUGGUAGGUUAACAUCAAUUUUGGUCAUCAUAAAAUGAUGGGAGGAAUGUAGCUUCCUUCGGGAAGUGUUAUAGCCUCUGGUAGAUGUGGUGACCGGGAUUGAGGAUUGCAACGAAUACCUUCGGGCUACCUGUCUGGUCUCUGAUCGUCGCCUUGGUGCUGAAAGCGUGCUUACGGUAUCAAAGUUUGAUGGUCAAAAGGCUAGCGCGGGUUACAUUCGUUAAGGAUGUUGACGUAAUGACUUUAAACGACCCGUCUUGAACACGGACCAAGGAG
rnacentral:rRNA from 1 species